AUUCAUUGUGGUUUGUUUAGUCAGAAUGCUAGAAAGAAAUGAACAGCAGUCUACAUCACAGUAAAUAGAGAGAAAUUGGUGCUAUCGAUGGAAGGGUGAGAACCAGGUCUCAAGUUUAAAGUAGAGAUAACAAGGUAUAGAGCUGGAUGAACACAGCAGGCCAAGCAGCAUCAUAGGAGCAGGAAGGCUGACGUUUCGGGCCUAGACGCUUCAUCAGAAAAAGGAAUAAAAAGUCUCCCAGCAGAUUCAUAUAGCAGGUGAACAGUGAUGUGUUGGCUUCAGAACGACCAUUUUGAAAGAUCUAGAGACAACACAGUGUGGAGUGGGAGGAACACAGCAGGCAUGGCAGCUUGACGUUUCAGGAUGUCAAGGGUAAUGGUGUUGUCAGAACAAUAUCCUGCAGAUAGCAAAGCGAAAAUUAAAGUGGAAGUGUGCUGGAGCACCUAUUCUAUUACUCAACAACAUUAUGAAUCUAUGAGAAAGGAAAUGCCUGAACAGAACUUGGCUCCACAAAUUACAGUGCUUUAAUGGAAAAUGAAAAAUCCAGAGAAACAAAUAAAAACAUCUGGCACAUUGAAAAUCGUUUAAACCUAAUGGACUGACAUGCAUCAGAGACCCUCUAUUUUUGUUUCACUAUGUUCUUUAGCUCCCUCAUCAUACAAUUAUUGCUGGCUUUGGUUCCAUUACCUUUCACCUAUGGUUGGAAUGUCCUGAGCUGUACCUGAAGCAUCUCCUCCAUAAAGAAUGGUUUUGUUACAGUUUCUGCUGUCAGUGUUUGGUUUUACUUUACCCUGGAUAGAUCCCUUCACAUUCCAAAAU